UUUACAGGGGUGCUGGUGAAGACCGGCUGAGAUAGAUACCGUAUUCGUAUCGGACCCUACAACCUGAUCUGGGUAAUGCCAGCGGAGGGAUGAGCG
rnacentral:ncRNA from 1 species